rfam:Saprospiraceae bacterium KD52 Scaffold1_3, whole genome shotgun sequence.
AUUUUAUGAAGAAGGGUGGAGAGAUCGGGCUCUGUGAAACCCUGGCAACCGCACGAAAGUGAAAGGUGCCAAUUCCCGCCAAAAAAUGUUGCCCCUGGCAGCGAUUGGAAAAAUAAAAU